UCUCUCUCUCUCUCUUUACCCCACCUCUUUAUAGAUACCAACUGACCGUCGUCCUCGGCAGCUCUGGCGUCUCCUCCCUUAAACAAGCCGAGUCAUGCGGGGGGAAGAACAGAAGGAGAGGAGGAAGAAAGGAAUCACAAAAAUCAAGGAAGAAAAGGGGAGGAAGCUUUUUUGCUUUGAGGGGAAUGUUGUCUGGCUCGAGGUGCAGGAACCUUGAGAUCUGAUCUGGUUGAUCUCGGACCAGGCUUCAUUCCCCUCAAGUAAAGCUUCCAUGCCGCGUCGAUCGCUCUCCAUGAUUCUUGCCUCACACGGUUGUUUCCGCAGGUCGAUUCAUCAUUAGGAUAUGAUUAUAUCGACGAAUGUUUCCCUUGUGUUGGGUUUCGUGCGGUCUAGCACGCAGAUUGGUGUAAUCAUGAGGUUCUUGACUCUGAUGCAUGCAUACUUUCUCCUUCUCUUUCUUUAAAGUAUGGCAUCUCGACCCCUUGUUGUGGUCUUUUUCUCUA